rnacentral:lncRNA from 1 species
GACAGUCGAGUUGUUUUCUUGAUUAUUCACUCAUUCACAGUUACUAAGCUGUGAAUGGAUGUUUGGAAAUAGAAGUGCGUCCAGAAAGUGACAUUAAAGCUAACUUUAUAAAGUAAAGGUGGUCCGGUGGUGCUUUUUAAAUGGCAAAAGAUUGAUAAGGCAUUGAAGAGUGUAAAGGAGAACUUUUAUCUUUAGGAAAGUAUAUAAAAUUUGAUAGAAACUAAAAUAGGAAAGGUACUGUUUGCCUAGGGAAUGAGGAAGUAGUUAAUAUGAUGUUUAUAUGAUCUAAGAACAGUUAUGUUUCUAGGGCGAUACAGAAGAUGAAAGCCAUGGAUUCAACCCUGUUGAAAGCCAGUAAACUCUUUCCUGAAUGCUCAGCAAUGGUGAAGAAACUUCGUGCAAUGACGUAUAACGCUGAGGAACAGCUUCGAUCGCAAAAGAAUCAAGCUUCCUUCCUUGUAAAUCUUGCUGGACGAACUACUCCGAAAGGCCUUCAUUGCCUCUCCAUGAGGUUGAGCAAUGGUGAAGAAACUUCGUGCAAUGACAUAUAACGCUGAGGAACAGCUUCGAUCGCAAAAGAAUCAAGCUUCCUUCCUUGUAAAUCUUGCUGGACGAACUACCCCGAAAGGCCUUCAUUGCCUCUCCAUGAGGUUGACCACUGAAUAUUUUU